rfam:Daphnia pulex DAPPTscaffold_108_Cont4663, whole genome shotgun sequence.
GGGUUUGUGGAGCAACGGAUAACGCGCCUGACUAUGGAUCAGGAUAUUCCAGGUUUGACUUCUGGCAAGCUCG